UACGUAGGGUGCAAGCGUUAAUCGGAAUUACUGGGCGUAAAGCGUGCGCAGGCGGUUUUGUAAGUCUGAUGUGAAAUCCCCGGGCUCAACCUGGGAAUUGCAUUGGAGACUGCAAGGCUAGAAUCUGGCAGAGGGGGGUAGAAUUCCACGUGUAGCAGUGAAAUGCGUAGAGAUGUGGAGGAACACCGAUGGCGAAGGCAGCCCCCUGGGUCAAGAUUGACGCUCAUGCAUGAAAGCGUGGGGAGCAAACAGG
rnacentral:rRNA from 1 species